CAAGCGUUGUUCGGAUUCACUGGGCGUAAAGGGUGCGUAGGGGGUGAGGUAAGUCGGAUGUGAAAUCUCCGGGCUCAACCCGGAAAUGGCAUUGGAAACUACCUUGCUGGAGGAUUUGAGGGGGGAUUGGAAUACUUGGUGUAGCAGUGAAAUGCGUAGAUAUCAAGUGGAACACCAGUGGCGAAGGCGAAUCCCUGGAAAAUACCUGACACUGAGGCACGAAAGCUAGGGGAGCAAACAGG
rnacentral:rRNA from 1 species